rnacentral:lncRNA from 1 species
GAAAAGACUACACACACAAUUACACUUUUGAUUGAAAAGCCAUAGUACGAAGAAAGAAAGAAACAUGUAUAAGUUACUUGCUGUCCUCCUUGUAGUAGCUGCACUUGGUAAGUAAAUAGAUUAUUGAAAUCAUUCUAAAUUAAGGAACGGAUCUGCCUGACCAUACAAUGUGGAUCUCAUAGUUUGGGUUAGUCUUCAUUGCUUUUCAUUUUAUAAUUUUGAUUUAAAAGUUUUGUUCUUGAGCGUCUCCAAACAGACAUUCUAAAGUGCGCACCUUGUUAAGUAAACUUGCUUAAGUUACUAUUAUUAGGUGUAUUUGUACAAACAGCUUGAUUGAUUGUUAAUGGUUCUUUUAUAAUUUAGAAUAUAACAUGGACUUUAAUUUGUAGAUAAGCAAUAAUAAAGACAAUAAAACUAAGAUCUGUAUAGCGAUAUAAUAUCAAAAUGCCAAGAUGUAAAAAUACUUGAAAACUUGAAAACAGCCUUAUCUACGUAAGGUGAAAAUAACAAAUAACUUAGUUUCGGAAUAAGUUCUAUAAGAAAAUACAUAUUUAUGUUUUAAGCUUUUUCUAGUUAAUUUCUUAAAACUUAUUACACCAACUUCAGAUAUUUACACUGUCGAUCGUGAUGCCUACGUGCAUUCAUAGAAUGUAUGAUAAUUGAUUACGGGAUAAGAAAAAAAUACAGAAUUUAUAACAAGACUUGGAUUAAUUUCAAUUUUAUACGACAAACAUCAGAAGGAGCAUGGGUAGAAUAUGAACGUAGACGUCUUGACUAUUCGUCAAACGUGUCAUAGCAUAAAAAUUGUCAGAAUACACAUUUCAUAUUCUAAACCAUGAUUUUCAAAAUUGUAUGAUACAUUAGGUCCGAAGAUAUAUAUUUAAUUAUAACAACCACUUUUAUGAAAUUAUUUCAUCGUUUUUUACUUUAUUUAUUGCGAUAGGAUGUGCAGUGAAUGGAUGCGUGUGUCCUAGGACAUACCUUCCUGUUUGCUCCAGUCUGGGAAACUCGUAUGCAAAUAGCUGUACCUUUGCAUGCUUGUAAGUAUUGAUAAUGUCCGUCAUCGCAGAAAACAUUUCCCGUAUUUUUUUCCCAACUAAUACCACUUUACGCUAAAAAUAGAAAAAAAUGAUUUACGAUUACCAUACAGUAUCAUGAUAUCGAGUUUAAUUUCAGCCAAGUCUGAGUCUGUCGUUGUAAUAUUCCUUACACUUUGAUUUUUAUUGAUGUUUAAAAGUAGAUCCACGUUGUUUGCUGAAAUGCCUAAAAGGUUAAAACAAUAGUUUUAAAUUUUACAAGUACUAGUAGUAGUAUAAAAAGUAUAUAAUAUGUGGAAUAUAUUGUUUAUUUUGACUUUGUAGUUAUUUCAUAACUAUUUGUAUUAUUCAAUAAAUGCUUAUAAUGCUUUUACUGAGACAAAUACAACUCAUCAGGAACUCACUGUUUGCUACAAAAUAGCAUAUACAUGUAUAUAAGAUUAACUGUAUACUAUAAAAAUCGCUUUUGCUACCUUUGCAAAUUAAAUGGGGUUAAAACAGUUACAAUCGAAAGAACUGUAUUUCAAACUUGAAAAUAAUAGUUCUGAAUUAACAAUUUAUUUUGCUUCUAUUCUUUGUUUGGUAGCGCUGCUGAAGGUGAAACAUUCGCCUGUGAUGGCUCUUGUCCUUGUGCUACAUAGAUUUCUGAAUCAAAAAGGUAUGUUAACAGCGAUGUACUUUGAAAAGAAUUCAUUUUUUAAAUAAUUUUUUUUUAUCUGUAUUGCCAAUGUCAGGUGGUUUUCUCCGGGCACACCGGCUUCCUCCACCAAUAAAAACUGGCCGCAACGAAAAAGCCAAAAUGUGUUGUCUAAAAGUGGCGUUAAAACACCAAAAAUCAAAUCAAAUCAUAUUUUUAUCAUUGCUUGACUUGUUUGAAGACUGAACUCUUUUUACCACACUUUUUUGUUUUCUAAAUUUUUAGAAUUUCUCUAUGAGAGAAAUGAAAAAUAUAUGUUUAAAGUUCUUCUAAUAGUUCAAACCAGGAUCAAUUCAUAUCAUACCAACGUGGACUAACAUGCAACAUACAUAAUUUAUUCAUUUAAAAAAUCAUUUUUUUUCCAAUCGAAUACUUCAACUUUUAAGUGAAUGAUAAUUGGAAGAUUCUUAUUACAUUUUUAUCAGAUGUGAUACUGAAAGGUUGUAAUGCCAACCAGAUGAAAGGGAGAGGCAAGAUAAAAUAGCUAAAAUAAUUGUCCAACCUUAUUUUUGAUAAUUUGAUAUAAAAAAAAAUAAUGAUAAAACUUAAUUAUCAUUUAAACACAGUUAAAUACAUGAAUAUGUAGAGACAUUCUGUUCUCAAAAUUUCUAAUGUUAGUCUUCAGAUUUGUCAGUUCCAAACAUACUUAUUUCGCUUCCAACUUGAUAAUUUUCCCCAUCUAAGUUGAAUGAAAACUUAGAACUUAAAAACUAAAUAGAAAUGUAGAAAAUAUGAUAUUCCAACAAUUCUUUUGUUUUUAAAUACUGAAUUUAAAAAGUGACAAAUUUUAAAUAUUGGUAUCGGAAACGAAAUAUUCAGAGGCAGAACAAUUAAACAAUUCAAAUAUGACGACUAAGACGUUAUUUUAGAACAAAUAGUACUAAUAAACAUAUUAUAUACUCGUGUAUGGUACCUGCCUAUCUAACAAAACAUUUUUUAAAUUAAAGUUAGAAUGAAAAUAUUUUCAUAUUAGCGUUAUAAAAUGUAUUUCAAUUUUUCAAAGUUAAUCAAAGUUUGAUUUUUUUUUCAGGUCUUUGGAAUAUGGAAGGAUUUGAAAUUGAACACUGGACUUUGAAAUGCAUAAUGGACAACUUUGUGUGACUUUUUAAUAAUAAUUCUAUUUAUCUUCUGCAUAAUUAUUCUGACUUCUUCUUGUUUCAAUAAAAACUAAAAUCGUUUUCACAUUCAUUGAAUAUUGUUCAUGAUGAUUAAUAAACAGUAGACAUUCCUAGAUUCAUCUUCGCCAGAAACCCUAAGACAAAAU